rnacentral:rRNA from 1 species
GACGAACGCUGGCGGCGUGCUUAACACAUGCAAGUCGAACGGAAAGGCCCUGCUUUUGUGGGGUGCUCGAGUGGCGAACGGGUGAGUAACACGUGAGUAACCUGCCCUUGACUUUGGGAUAACUUCAGGAAACUGGGGCUAAUACCGGAUAGGAGCUCCUGCUGCAUGGUGGGGGUUGGAAAGUUUCGGCGGUUGGGGAUGGACUCGCGGCUUAUCAGCUUGUUGGUGGGGUAGUGGCUUACCAAGGCUUUGACGGGUAGCCGGCCUGAGGGGGUGACCGGCCACAUUGGGACUGAGAUACGGCCCAGACUCCUACGGGAGGCAGCAGUGGGGAAUAUUGCACAAUGGGCGGAAGCCUGAUGCAGCAACGCCGCGUGCGGGAUGACGGCCUUCGGGCUGUAAACCGCUUUCGCCUGUGACGAAGCGUGAGUGACGGUAAUGGGUAAAGAAGCACCGGCUAACUACGUG